GGGGAAUAUUGGACAAUGGGCGCAAGCCUGAUCCAGCCAUGCCGCGUGAGUGAUGAAGGUCUUAGGAUUGUAAAGCUCUUUCAGUGGGGACGAUAAUGACGGUACCCACAGAAGAAGCCCCGGCUAACUUCGUGCCAGCAGCCGCGGUAAUACGAAGGGGGCUAGCGUUGUUCGGAAUUACUGGGCGUAAAGCGCACGUAGGCGGAUAUUUAAGUCGGGGGUGAAAUCCCGGGGCUCAACCCCGGAACUGCCUUCGAUACUGGGUAUCUUGAGUUCGGAAGAGGUGAGUGGAAUUGCGAGUGUAGAGGUGAAAUUCGUAGAUAUUCGCAGGAACACCAGUGGCGAAGGCGGCUCACUGGUCCGAGACUGACGCUGAGGUGCGAAAGCGUGGGGAGCAAAC
rnacentral:rRNA from 1 species